UUUGGAGAAUGAGAUGCCCUUCAAUAUUGGGGUAGAUAUAGAAGAAGAAACAGAAAACAUAUUUAAGGACUUAUUGUAUGAAGCUCGUAGUGAGUUAUACCCUGAUUGUUCUGAAUAGUCUUCACAUCUUUCAAAGAGUUCAGGGUCGACUGUUAUAGACAUUUCAAACAUCAACCCAAAACAGGCACAUGCCAACCCACCUAACAUAUUGGUGGGACAUAUGGAAGGUUGACACUUACUGUGCGAUCACUACAUGAGCUGUGCAUUUCAGGUGAGAUCUACAAAUUGCAAUGGUAUGUGUUAUUUCACUUAAUUUUCUUAACGCGUGUGUACUUUUAACAAACAUUUUCAUGCAGGAGCAAUCACAAACGAACAAGGUUGCUAGGCAGAAGCAGUCUUACAAUCAUGAUGAAGUCGUUUUUAUAAUGACAGCAUGAUCUCGCUGAAGAAUGAGGUCUGGAAUUAUUAAGAGAAACCCACGCUCGUAAUGGACAAUUUAUUUCACAGGCGGAUGCAAAUGCGCAUGUAAGUUUAAAUUUGAUUUUGUCUUAAUUUUGUACUUAUACUUCUCCGAUUCAUAACUUACAUAAAAUUUUAUCUGUCGCAAAGUCAAAUGCUGAAACUUCAGUCCUAGCGUACCCCAGAGGUUUCUCAGCCACUCUUUGAGGAUGAUAUUUACGAGAUCGUUUUGGGUAAGUGUCCAAGCUACUCAAAAGGUCUUGGUUGGGGACCCAGGUCCAAGUCUCAUAACAGUGUUGCUAGUAGUUCUUCGACCACAUGUUUGCAUUCUACAACGGUCGAAGAACAAGCUAAUGUAGUCUUCAUUGAGAGCUUCAAGAAGCUAAACACGUGAUUGAAAGGUAGAGAAGGAUGUUCGAGUUGCAGUAUAAACAAAUGGAAGAAAUGAUGAAAAAGAUUGAUGAAAUGAGUCGGCCAUAGAGAGAACCGUAAGUGGAGAACUUGCUGUACUUAUUUUUGAACUUUAACGUUGUUUACUUUGCAAAAGAGAUAGAUUAUCUAAAUAAAAUCGUUUGAUAAAAAAUUGAAAUUCAUAUAAAUUAAAACAAAACAAGCUAUCUUAAUUAAUUCUCUAUACUAACAAUUGAGUGGUGGAAGAUCGAGAGAAUCUAAAUUUAGAUACAGAUCAAUUUUCGAUCGACUAGAUAUCUUACUCCCAUAAACCAAGAACCCAAUCGAAUAUCCGAUCACCGCCUCUAGCAAAAUUCCCACAUUAUAUUACAUGACCGCCAACGUAAUGAUGAAAGCCAACCCCACUCUAACGUAGUAAAGAGUGGUAUGAACCAGGCUGGCAGUGAGGUUGCCCAUGGCGGAUGUGGGGAAUUUAGUGUGUGAGAGCCACUCCACGAUGAAGGCAAGGAGAAAAACAAAAAUUAAAGCGAUGACUGAGGAGAAAAAGCAACCAGGAAAGAGGAUCUCUAUCGUCUUUCCCCAAUAAAAUGUCAUGUGGGUUUCCAUUGUUUGAUUGCAAUCAAAUAAUGAAGUUGAAAUUGUACUAUCAAAUAAUGAAUUUGAAAUUGUACUAUCAAAUAAAGCUGUGAGUGUACUACAAAUUUGCUAGUACUGAAGCUUUCUUUUUUUAUUAUUUCACAUUUUAUUUGAACACUUAAAGAAUGUGUCUUAUAAAAUUUAUGCUCGAAAGGAAAUAAAACAACACUUGAGAUUAAGAGUUGAGAUGUAAUAACAUUUAAGAUUAAUGUUAUUUCAUUAAAAAAAAAAAAGUCUUGCAAGAGUCCUGCUAGCAGUUCUUCGACCACAUGUUCGCAUUCUACAGUGGUCGAACAAGCUAAUGCAGAUCUUAUUAAGCAACAAAGACUCGAGCUUCAAGAAGCUAAACACGUGAUUGAAGAGCAGAGAAGGAUAUCUAAGUUGCAGUAUAAACAAAUGGAAGAAAUGAUGAAGAAUAUUGGAGAAAUGAGUCGAGCAUAGAGAGAACCGUGUGGACUUGUUCAAUAUAGUGCUCGCAGCUAAAUUAUUUUAAUUUUCUUUUUCAUGUAAUUUUUUUAACAAAUUUGAAACUGUGUUCUUACGACAAAUGUUUAUUUAAUUAUAAUACAAUUUUGAUUUGGAUAUAUUAUUUACUAUUUUGGUUGUUCAGUUUUUAUUUAAAUUAAGUCGAAUUGGAAUCGAAUAGAAACUACAAUCGAAACAAAAAAUUUAAAAUUUAAAAGAUAAUAAUUAAAAAAAAA